rnacentral:rRNA from 1 species
AAACGUCGUAGCGGCUGAGUAAAUGCCUGGGUAAUCGUGUCGCUUAACGAUACGAAUCCGGGUAGACUGCUUAGCUUGAGACUGGAGAAGCUAGAGGUACUCCUGGGGUAGAGGUGAAAUUCUGUAAUCCUGGGGGGACCACCAGUGGCGAAAGCGUCUAGCUAGAACGGGUCUGACGGUGAGGGACGAAACCCUGGGGCGCGAAC